rnacentral:snoRNA from 1 species
AGUGGUUACCAAUGGGCAAGGAGAUAUCUGAUUGGUGGUGUUGCUCUUAUACCAAUCAGGGGCAAAGCAGAUGUACAGGCCUUAGUUCAUCCUAGCUUGAUCCCUGUGUCAAUGACCAGAGCUGUUUCAUGCCUGAGGCACAUAA